CUAAUGUGUGGUACCGACUACCGAGUACACCAGCAUAGUCUUACGGUCUUACCAUUAUUAUUGGAGUGGACUAAAGCUGUCAAAACAUGUCAUCGGGUCGGGUUCAAGUUGGGUUAUCAGGGGUCUUGGAUUAUGAUUAGGUCGGAUCGUAUCGGGUCACUUUAUCACUCGGGUUCAGGUCGUGUUGGUUUUCGGUCGGGUCAUGUCGGGAUUUUUUCAUAUCGGGUACAAGUAAGGUUACGACCGGGUUUCAAUUUCGGGUUUGUGUCUUAUACAGUCGGGUUUGAAUCGGGUUUGUAGCAGUUAAUCUCGGGUUUGAGGUCAAGUUCGGAUCGAAUAAUUUUCAGGUCGGUUAAAAUUCAGGUCGAGUUACUCUUAAGAUCGAGUCAAUAAUUGAUUUGGCCUUCUCAAAAUAUUCGAGCGUAAAAUAUGUACUCAACAUGUCGAGUCACUAACAUGUUAUGUGGCAAAAAUCGGGAUAAGGUCAUUGUUAGUCGGGUAUCGAAUCCGGUUUGGAUCAUUGUUCGAUCGGGUCAGUUCGGUUAUCAAUUAUCUUUCGGUCGGGUGUUGAGUUCGGGUUCGGAUCCUACAACAUCGGGUUAAAAUCGAUUAUCGAUUUUUCCGGGUCUGGUAUAGGUCGAGUUUCGGAUUACCUGUUUUAUCAAAAUUCCAGGUCAUAGUUAGUUAUGAGUUCGGUCUAUUCAGGUCAGAUUUUCGGGUCGGAUCAAUUUUGACUACUCUAGAGUGGAGUAGUGGACCAGUGGAGUCCAUAGAGACAAGCUUAGGCCUUGUUGUGCUACUUGUGCAAGUGGCAUUGCCUAUUUGCAAGUGAUACCAUAAUUGAUCUUAUCAAUUAGCUAAAUAACAUACACCACAUAUCUUUUGGCAUCGAUCAUCUUAACUACGUAAGUACUCCGUAAGUCCGUCUAUAAAAGCGUACAUAAUAUUUAGUUUAAUUGAGUAGUUUCAAACAACUGAUAAACAAGACCUUGGAAAAAAUGGAGAAGAAAUUCUUUGGGAUUUUGCUUUUGUUUCUCUUCUUAUUUGCUUCUGAGAUGAAGAUGGUGGUGGAGGUUGAUGGUGCAUGCACAAAACCAAGUAUGUACUUCAAAGGGCCUUGCGGUACUCACAAGGCUUGUAGCGAGGCUUGUAGCCGAGAGAAUUUGCCUGUCGGAAUUUGUGACUUCUUCAAAUGUAAAUGUGAAAAGCCUUGUUAAGCACUUUGUAAUCUGUAUGAUCGACUAAACUUAUUACAAUAUUGUUAAACAUGAGAUAUUAGUAAUUAUAAUUGUGAUAUAUAUUUUCCUUUAUCACUAA